CCGCACGGUGCCUCCCGGGCAUCUUGAAUCCACAUGACGUGAACGCCCCGAUGCACGUGCGAAAUCAUCGCCGUUCGUGUUGCAGUUCAUCCCCAAUUUUCCACAGUUGAUCUGUGUCAAAGUAACGGUGAAAUUC
rnacentral:snoRNA from 1 species